GAUGCUACUGAGAAUGACUGAGCCGCCAGUGACUGAAUAGUAACUGAGCUUGCCCCGCCAGUGGCUGAAUAGUAACUGAGCUGCCCCGCCAGUGGCUGAAUAGUAACUGAGCUGCCCCGCCAGUGGCUGAAUAGUAAUUGAGCCUGCCCCGCCAGUGGCUGAAUAGUAACUGAGCCUGCCCCGCCAGUGGCUGAAUAGUAACUGAGCCUGCCCCGCCAGUGGCUGAAUAGUAACUGAGCCUGCCCCGCCAGUGGUCGAGUCUGACUUCGCAGUAGCAUCCGAGAGAAAAGGGACCACGGCAUGCC
rnacentral:lncRNA from 1 species